GGGGAUAUGGUUUAGUGGUUAACAACACCUGCUGCUCUUGCAGAAGACCUGGGUUCAAUUCCCAGUAUCCACA
rnacentral:tRNA from 1 species